rnacentral:rRNA from 1 species
UACGUAGGGGGCAAGCGUUAUCCGGAUUCACUGGGUGUAAAAGGAGCGUAGACGGCCAUGCAAGCCUGGAGUGAAAGCCCGGGGCCCAACCCCGGGACUGCUCUGGGAACUGUGCGGCUGGAGUGCGGGAGGGGCAGGCGGAAUUCCUGGUGUAGCGGUGAAAUGCGUAGAUAUCAGGAGGAACACCGGCGGCGAAGGCGGCCUGCUGGACCGCAACUGACGUUGAGGCUUGAAAGCGUGGGGAGCAAACAGG